rnacentral:lncRNA from 10 species
ACUACACUCUAAGACAAGAAAUGUAUGCUGGGAGGAAACAAAGACUAGUCUGAUAUGAAACUUGCUUUCAAAAGCAGAGUUGUGAUAUUCAAGAAAAAUAUCACAGAAUAGAAUGUCCUAACUGCAAUAGGAGAGGUUCAGAUAAAAUACUACAGAAGUUCACAGCAUGGAGCCCCAGCAGUCAUCUUUUCCAAACGAAUCAUCUUACCAGAGCACAAAACCCUCUCCAAGAUACCACAUCACUAGUAAAUAUGUGAAUGGCCCUUAAUGAGAAAAGUCAUUUCACAGCAGGAUCCGUGAGUUUAUGUCUGGAGCCAUAGUGAUGUUUCACCAGUGAAAAUCUCUUUCUACUUUGAGCUUUUGAAGACAAAAGAGAUGAAUGCAAUGUGGACAUAGCUUCAAAGCUGUACAAGGAUCCAGCAAGACAAGAGAAAUACAAAAUGCAUCUCGGGUCAGUUGAAUGCAUGUUUAGGAUUGCCCAUCUGUCCGUCUCUGUUCACAUCUUGACCUACGCUGUGUUCCUCUGCGUGGGGUUGGAUGCCAGGUCCCCUCUCCAUUGAUGGGUCCCACAGGUCUUGAUAUAGUUUGAAUGGUUGUCCCCGCAAAGCUUAUGUUGAAAUGUGAUCCCCAGUGUUGGAGGAGGGGCCUGGUGGGAGGUGUUUGGGUCAUGGGGUGGGGGCAGAUCCCUCAUGAAUGGCUUGGUGCACUCCAUGGUAAUGAGUGAGUUCUUGCUCUGUUAGUUCACAUGAAAUAUGAUUGUUAAAAAUAUUCUGGCACCUCCUCCUCUCUCUUGCUCCCUCUCUCACUAUGUGACACACCUGCUUCCCUUCUACCAUGAGUAAAAG